rnacentral:rRNA from 1 species
CCUACGGGUGGCUGCAGUGGGGAAUAUUGGACAAUGGGCGAAAGCCUGAUCCAGCCAUGCCGCGUGUGUGAAGAAGGCCUUCGGGUUGUAAAGCACUUUCAGUGGGGAAGAAAGCCUUGGGGCUAAUACCCUCGAGGAAGGACAUCACCCACAGAAGAAGCACCGGCUAACUCCGUGCCAGCAGCCGCGGUAAUACGGAGGGUGCGAGCGUUAAUCGGAAUUACUGGGCGUAAAGCGCGCGUAGGCGGUCUGAUAAGCCGGUUGUGAAAGCCCCGGGCUCAACCUGGGAACGGCAUCCGGAACGGUCAGGCUAGAGUGCAGGAGAGGAAGGUAGAAUUCCCGGUGUAGCGGUGAAAUGCGUAGAGAUCGGGAGGAAUACCAGUGGCGAAGGCGGCCUUCUGGACUGACACUGACGCUGAGGUGCGAAAGCGUGGGUAGCAAACAGGAUUAGAUACCCUGGUAGUC